rnacentral:rRNA from 1 species
AGGAUGAACGCUGGCGGCGUGCCUAACACAUGCAAGUCGAACGUCCUGUCUCGCAAGAGGCAGGGAGUGGCGGACGGGUGAGUACCACGUGGGUCAUCUACCGUGAGGUGAGGAAUACCGGCGAGAAAUCGCCGACAAGACCGCAUAGGCUCGAUGCAAGUCGAGCAAAGCUCUUUCGAGAGAGGGAGCGCCACACGAGGAGCCUGCGCCCGAUUAGCUAGCUGGUGGAGUAACGGUUCACCAGGGCGACGAUCGGUAGCUGGUCUGAGAGGACGAUCAGCCACACUGGGAUUGAGAACGGCCCAGACUCCUACGGGGGCAGCAGUGAGGAAUUUCGUCAAUGGGGGCAACCCUGAACGAGCAACGCCGCGUGCAGGAAGAAGGUUUCGGAUCGUAAACUGCUUUCUCGGGAAGAGAAUGGACGGUACCGAGGAAUCAGCCCGGCUAACUACGUGCCAGCAGCCGCGGU